rnacentral:tRNA from 1 species
GUGGAUUUAGCUCAGUGGCAGAGCACAUGCUUAGCAUGAACGAGGUCCUGGGUUCAAUCCCUAGUACCUCCA